rnacentral:rRNA from 1 species
UCGCCCGCCCGCGCCCCGCGCCCGUCCCGCCGCCCCCGCCCGCCUACGGGAGGCAGCAGGGGGGAAUAUUGCACAAUGGGCGAAAGCCUGAUGCAGCAACGCCGCGUGAGGGAUGACGGCCUUCGGGUUGUAAACCUCUUUUAGCAGGGAAGAAGCGAAAGUGACGGUACCUGCAGAAAAAGCGCCGGCUAACUACGUGCCAGCAGCCGCGGUAAUACGUAGGGCGCAAGCGUUAUCCGGAAUUAUUGGGCGUAAAGAGCUCGUAGGCGGUUUGUCGCGUCUGCUGUGAAAUCCCGAGGCUCAACCUCGGGCCUGCAGUGGGUACGGGCAGACUAGAGUGCGGUAGGGGAGAUUGGAAUUCCUGGUGUAGCGGUGGAAUGCGCAGAUAUCAGGAGGAACACCGAUGGCGAAGGCAGAUCUCUGGGCCGUAACUGACGCUGAGGAGCGAAAGGGUGGGGAGCAAACAGGCUUAGAUACCCUGGUAGUCCACCCCGUAAACGUUGGGAACUAGUUGUGGGGACCAUUCCACUGUGUCCGCUGGCGCCCCGCGCCCGCUCCGUCGCACUGCGUGUACUACGAUAACCGAG